CAAAACACAAAAAACUCUAAAAAGUGUGAAAAGAGGCACUGUAGAGUAAAUACUUAAGCCAUUUGGUGGGAUUUAGCUUCCUGAUUGCUAACACGGCUGCAGCAUUUUAGCAAUCAAGAACCAGUUUGUGUAUUGAGGACACGGGAGAAGAAAUUCGGUUGGUAAUACCUCAAGCCAGAGUUUCCUCCUGUACUAAAACUCAAAUGAUGUUGCUCACUUGUUAGUCACUCUGGAUUAAGGCCCGUGUCCAAUGAGCAGAGAAAAUCUACAUUUAACGUUCAGAGCGCCAAAGAAAAAAAAAAGAAAAAACUGCAGCGUAAUUCCCA